AUCUGAACCCAAAUUUAUUUAAAAAAUAAAAGAAAAAGUGGCAUUGUGAAAUAGAGAAUAAAGGAAUCACAUAAAACCAAAUAAUUGUAUUAAAAUUUCAAUUGAAAGUCGGGCAUUAUUUUUUCAGCUAUAUUCAUUGCAACUUCUUCAAGUUAUAGAUCUAAAUAAUAAAAAUUGUGUAGUGAAACCCAUUUAUAACUAUCUAAUUCAAUUUUCUUUCAGAAUCAAUGAUAAAAGAAAGUAAUAAAAUCCAAUUUAACCAUUGUUUUCUCUGUUUUUGUGAUUUAAUUCAGAAGAAAAUUGGGUAAAAGGGCCUAG
rnacentral:lncRNA from 1 species